AUGUUCAUAAAAUCCACAGUGAUUGUAGAUUCUGAAUAUAAUGUUUACAAAAGAACCUUUCGAUUUUUAGUGUAUGUGUGCAUUACAUGUAUUGUAAACAAAAUUUCUGUGAAUUUGAAGAGCAAUAUUUUGAAUCAAGAUUACCAUCGCUCUACACACAGGGCAAGUAGCAUGAAGUGUAGUGUUUUAAAGGAAAAUCUGCUUUUAGAUGUGACAAGAAUAUGUGGCAAUCAAAAGUGCACUUUUAUAAAAAUUAUAUAAAUAUUUAUAUGAAAUGUUGUAUUACUUAUUACAGUUUUUCUCAGUCGCUUUGGUGCAUUUCUCAACUUCUUUUUAACUCCACAUCAUCUAGUCAUUUAUACACAUCAUAAAACCAGUUUCUCAUUCUUUUGAAUAAGUUGUGUUUGCUUUCGUACUUUCAUGCAAUUAAGUAUGCACAUUUAUCUGCAGUUUUCCUACAUUAUCAGUUGCUAAUGUCAUGUUACUCAAAAUGUAUUACAUAGUAUUCUGUGCAAUAGACUUAUCCCUCAAAACAUCUAGGCAUUAGUUCAUCGUAUAAGUCAUUAAAUGCAAAAUGGUUAAUCUAGUUGUCGUAAGUUUUGUUUAACACAUUAUGAUAAGACCUUUUUUAAAUUUGAAUUAAAUUGUGCAAGUGAAUCUUGACUAAUGAAGAAAAUGUAGAUCAACCAAUGAUAAACCAUUUCUCUGAAAUAGCUCAAAGGUUCAUCUCAUGAAUCUUCAGUUGGAAAGCUUAUACUGUAUAGACAGAGGACAACACAAGAGUUACAAAUUUACCUAUUUUUUAUUUUCAUCUUUGUGCCCAUAUUUCUUUUUCCUUUUCUAUAUCAUAAUUACAUUGUAAAGGUUUAUUUAUUUAUUUAUUUUUAUUUUAUUUUUUAUCAGAUUACUAGUAAAAGUGUAACUGGUAAUUCCAUCAAGUCUCUUUCAGUCAAUAUCCCACAUACAGUAAUGUGUAAAUUUGUACUUUUGAAAUGGAUAUAUGGCAUACAUAAGCCUAUGGCAUACUGUUACUACUGUAUGUUACUAUUACUACAACAGUUACUGUCAUCCAAAAUGUUUCCAUAGUUUACAUCAGGUAAAACUAACAAAGUGCACUGUUAUAUUGACAACAUGACUACGCAUUUUGACUAUCUUGUUUGUGAACAAUGACAUGAUGGCACUGAUAUGUUCAUUGACAUGAAUACUUGUUUUUGAGAGAUGAACUAAAGAUUUUCAGUAAGUUACAGGCUUUUGCUGGUAAUCUGUUUUACGGUGCUGUUUGUACAAAUUGUUUUAAGAAAUGCACAUACUUUUUUGCAAAUAGCAAAGAUGAUUCAAGAAAUGCACUAAUGCGACUGAGAAGAACGUCUUGGUUACGUAUGUAACCCUCGUUCCCUGAAGGAGGGAACGGAGACGUUACGAAUGGGAUCUCGCCCGAGAGCCCAAUCACCUUCGAGUGGUACAAAACGAGCCAAUGUAACACAAAGUACCUUGGUCUGCGCAAUUUGCAUCGCAAGCUCCGCCCAGCAGAGCGGGUAUAUAAGGAGCAACGCGAGCAACGCGCAUUCAAGUCUUCGCCGAGGAACCGAGCCAAUGACCCGGCCGUUCAGCGGAACAGCGAUGUGGCAAGGGGACGUAACGUCUCCGUUCCCUCCU
rnacentral:lncRNA from 1 species